rnacentral:rRNA from 1 species
GUAGGGGGCAAGCGUUGUCCGGAAUCAUUGGGCGUAAAGAGCGCGUAGGCGGUCCGGUAAGUCAGCUGUGAAAGUCAAGGGCUCAACCCUUGAAAGCCGGUUGAUACUGUCGGGCUAGAGUCCGGAAGAGGCGAGUGGAAUUCCCGGUGUAGCGGUGAAAUGCGCAGAUAUCGGGAGGAACACCAAUGGCGAAGGCAGCUCGCUGGGACGGUACUGACGCUGAGGCGCGAAAGCGUGGGGAGCAAACAGGAUUAGAUACCCUGGUAGUCCACGCCGUAAACGAUGGGCACUAGGUGUUGGGGGUGUCGACUCCCCCGGCGCCGUAGCUAACGCAUUAAGUGCCCCGCCUGGGGAGUACGGCCGCAAGGCUA